UACGGAGGGAGCUAGCGUUGUUCGGAAUUACUGGGCGUAAAGCGCACGUAGGCGGCUAUUCAAGUCGGGGGUGAAAGCCCGGGGCUCAACCCCGGAACUGCCCUCGAAACUAGGUAGCUAGAAUCUUGGAGAGGCGAGUGGAAUUCCGAGUGUAGAGGUGAAAUUCGUAGAUAUUCGGAAGAACACUAGUGGCGAAGGCGACUCGCUGGACAAGUAUUGACGCUGAGGCACGAAAGCGUGGGGAGCAAACAGG
rnacentral:rRNA from 1 species